UACAGAGGGGGCAAGCGUUGUUCGGAAUUACUGGGCGUAAAGGGCGCGUAGGCGGCCUUCUAAGUCGAACGUGAAAUCCCCGGGCUCAACCCGGGAACUGCGUCCGAUACUGGAAGGCUUGAAUCCGGGAGAGGGAUGCGGAAUUCCAGGUGUAGCGGUGAAAUGCGUAGAUAUCUGGAGGAACACCGGUGGCGAAGGCGGCAUCCGGACCGGUAUUGACGCUGAGGCGCGAAAGCCAGGGGAGCAAACGGG
rnacentral:rRNA from 1 species